rnacentral:rRNA from 1 species
AAAGGUUUGGUCCUGGCCUUAUAAUUAAG